UAGUAGUAUGGUGGAGGAGGUGAGGGUGAUGGUGGUGGUGGAGAUUUGUAGUAGUAUGGUGGAGGAGGUGAGGGUGAUGGUGGUGGAGGGGAUUUGUAGUAGUAUGGAGGAGGAGGUGACGGCGAUGGUGGUGGUGGAGAUUUGUAGUAGUAUGGAGGAGGAGGUGAAGGGGAUGGUGGUGGUGGAGAUUUGUAGUAGUAUGGAGGAGGAGGUGACGGGGAUGGUGGUGGUGGAGAUUUGUAGUAGUAUGGUGGAGGAGGUGAGGGUGAUGGUGGUGGUGGAGAUUUGUAGUAAUAUGGAGGAGGAGGUGAAGGAGAAGGUGGUGGUGGAGAUUUGUAGUAAUAUGGAGGAGGAGGUGAUGGGGAUGGUGGUGGAGGAGAUUUGUAGUAGUAUGGUGGAGGUGGUGAUGGUGAUGGUGGUGGGGGAGAUUUGUAGUAGUAUGGUGGAGGUGGUGAAGGAGAUGGUGGCGGAGGUGAUUUGUAAUAAUAGGGUGGAG
rnacentral:lncRNA from 1 species